rnacentral:tRNA from 1 species
GGGUCUGUCGUAGAAUGGUUUAAUACACACGGCUCCAGACCGUGAAAUGGGGGUUCGAUUCCCUCCAGGCCCA